UGCAAUCAGCCAAUAGGAUUGAGCUUGCAUUCCAUUGGCUGAUCCAAUCAGCCAAUAGAAUGCCAGCUCAAUCCUAUUGGCUGAUUGGAUCAGCCAAUAGGAUUGAACUUCAAUCCUAUUGGCUGAUUGCAUCAGUAAAUAGGAUUUUUUUCUACCUUAAUUCCGAUUGGCUGAUAGAAUUCAGCCAAUCGCCGGAUGGAUGAAGAUAGAAGAUGCCGCCUGGAUUAAGACUUCUGCCCGCCUGAAGGACCUCUUCUUCCCGGCUUGGAUGAAGACUUCUGCCCGUCUGGUGGACCACUUAGCCCGGCUUCGUUGAGCACUUCGGCCUGGUUGGGUGAAGACUUCUCAAGGUAGGGUGAUCUUCAAGGGGUUAGUGUUAGGUUUUAUUAAGGGGGUAUUGGGUGGGUUUUAGAGUAGGGUUGGUUGUGUGGGUGGUGGGUUUUAAUGUUGGUAAGGGGUAUUGUACUUUUUUUUUCCCGCAAAAGGCCCUUUUAAGGGCUAUUUGUAAUUUAGUAUAGGGUAGGGCUUUUUUAUUAUUUUGGGGGGCUUUUUUAUUUUAUUAGGGGGAUUAGAUUAGGUGUUAUUAGUUUAAAAAACUUGUAAUUAUUUUAUUAUUUUCUUUUAGUGUUUUUUUUUUCGUACUUUAACUACAAUUAAAUACAAUUAUCUAGUUUAGGUAAUUAAUUUAAUUAUAGUGUAGUGUUAGGUGUAAUUGUAACUUAGGGUUUAUUUUACAGUAUUUCGUUUUAAAUAGGAAUAAUUUAGUUAAUGAUAGUUAUUUUAUUUAAAUUAUAUUUAAGUUAGGGGGUGUUAGGGUUAGACUUACGUUUAGGGGUUAAGAACUUUAUUAUAGUGAUGGCGACGUUGGGGGCAGCGUAUUAAGGGUUAAUAAGUAUAAUGUAGGUGGCGGUGUCCGGAGCGGCAGAUUAGGGGUUAAUAAUAUAAUGCAGGUGUCGGGGUGGUCGAUUAGGGGUUAAUAAGUGUAAGAUUAGGGGUGUUUAGACUCGGGGUUCAUGUUAGGGCGUUAGGUGUAGACAUAAAAGUAUUUCCCCAUAGGAAUCAAUGGGCUGCGUUAGGAGCUGAACGCUGCUUUUUUGCAGGUGUAAGGUUUUUUUUCAGCCGGCUCUCCCCCAUUGAUUCCUAUGGGGAAAUCAUGCACAAGCACGUUUUAGCCAUCUCACCGCUAAUGUAAGCAGCGCUGGUAUUGAGGUGAGAUGUGGAGCAAAAUUUUGCUCUCCACUUACUUUUCUGCGGCUAACUCCGGGUUUCUAAAAACCCGUAAUACCAGUGUUGUCUGUAAGUGAGCGGUGAGGGAAAACCACUCGUUAGCACCGUACCCCUGUUAACGCAAAACUCGUAAUCUAGGUGAAAUACUUUUUACAGUUUCUUUAAAAUGUUUAGUGAAUGUUUCUCUUACUGCUAUUCAACUACUACAGCAGUCAAUGUUUAUAUUACGGUUACUCAAUGUCUACAGUGAAUGUUUGGUUAUAGUGGGACAAGUGUCAAAUAAAUACUAAUGUAUAGGGUGGGUACAUUUUGCCAUCACCUAAGAGUUGGUUGAAGUACACAGUUCAAGAAUCUGUUUAUGAACAUGAAACAGCUAUUGUCUUUUCAUUACAGCCGACAUGCAUUUGCUAUAGUUCUGCGAAUAAUAUAGGGUCCAUAUGCUACAUGCCCAUAAUCAGUCAGUUGUUGCAGCUAUAAUAGCCUAAUAUGGUCCUUUGAGUAUUUGCUAAAAUUCAGAAUGCCAUCAUUUCCUUUAAAAAAAAAAUGUCCUCUCUCGUCGCCUACCUAAGUCAUUUACCAAGUUACUUCCUUUCCUAUAGUUAAUGGAGUGCCAGUUGGCAAACAUUAUUAUUGGUUAUUUGUAGAGCGCCAACAGAUUCCGCAGCGCUAUAACAUAUUGUACUUCUAUGUUCAUAAUUGUAAGGCUGUUCAAUUCCUAGAAAGAAAAAAAAAAACACACCAAACCAGGCAUCUUUUUAAAAAGUAAGUUUAUUUUACAACAACAUAAUAGCCUUAACAGUAACAUUGAUAUUAGAAACCGAAUGCAAUCUUUGGAAUGGAGCAUUGUAGGUUUUUUUUUCACCUUAGCAUGGUUAGUCAUAUAAACCCAUUGAAUAUAUUGCUCAAUACUUUCCAUAAUAAAUGUUUUACUAAAAA